UUAAAUUGAAGAGUUUGAUCAUGGCUCAGAUUGAACGCUGGCGGCAGGCCUAACACAUGCAAGUCGAACGGUAACAGAAAGCAGCUUGCUGCUUUGCUGACGAGUGGCGGACGGGUGAGUAAUGUCUGGGAAACUGCCUGAU
rnacentral:rRNA from 1 species